GCCUACGGCCAUACCACCCUGAAACGCCCUAUCUCGUCUGAUCUCGGAAGCUAAGCAGGGUCGGGCCUGGUUAGUACUUGGAUGGGAGACCGCCUGGGAAUACCAGGUGUUGCAGGCU
rnacentral:rRNA from 1 species